rnacentral:rRNA from 1 species
AAUGAACGCUGGGGGCAGGCCUCACACAUGCAAGUCGAACGCCCCGCAAGGGGAGUGGCGCACUGGUGAGGAACGCGUUUGAAUAUGCCCGUCGGUUCGGCAGAACACAGGAAAACUUCUGCUACUACCGGAUAACAUCUACGGAUGAAAGAUUCAUGCCCGAGGGAGUAGGACGCGUAGGAUUAGAUUGUUGGUGUGGGAACGGCUAAACAAGCGGAAGAUCCUUAGCUGGUCUGAGAGGAUGAACAGCCACACUGGGACUGAGACACGGCCCAGACUCCUACGGGAGGGAGCAGUGGGGAAUAUUGGAACAGGGGCGAAAGCAUGAUCAAGCCAUGCCGCGUGAGUGAUGAAGGCCUUAGGGUUGUAAAGCUCUUUCGCCAGGGAAGAUAAUGACGGUACCUGGAAAAGAAGCCUCGGCUAACUCCGUGCCAGCCGCCGCAGUAA